GACGAACGCUGGCGGCGUGCCUAAUACAUGCAAGUCGAGCGAAGUUUUUCUGGUGCUUGCACCGGAAAAACUUAGCGGCGAACGGGUGAGUAACACGUAAAGAACCUGCCUCAUAGACUGGGACAACUAUUGGAAACGAUAGCUAAUACCGGAUAACAGCAUUAACUGCAUGGUUGAUGUUUAAAAGUUGGUUUUGCUAACACUAUGAGAUGGCUUUGCGGUGCAUUAGCUAGUUGGUGGGGUAAAGGCCUACCAAGGCGACGAUGCAUAGCCGACCUGAGAGGGUGAUCGGCCACACUGGGACUGAGACACGGCCCAGACUCCUACGGGAGGCAGCAGUAGGGAAUCUUCCGCAAUGGGCGAAAGCCUGACGGAGCAACGCCGCGUGAGUGAAGAAGGAUUUCGGUUCGUAAAGCUCUGUUGUUAGGGAAGAAUGAUUGUGUAGUAACUAUACACAGUAGAGGACGGUACCUAACCAGAAAGCCAC
rnacentral:rRNA from 1 species